UACGAAGGUGGCAAGCGUUGUUCGGAUUUACUGGGCGUACAGGGAGCGUAGGCGGUUGGAUAAGCCCUCCGUGAAAUCUCCAGGCUUAACCUGGAAAGUGCAGAGGGGACUGUUCAGCUAGAGGAUGGGAGAGGAGCGCGGAAUUCCCGGUGUAGCGGUGAAAUGCGUAGAGAUCGGGAGGAAGGCCGGUGGCGAAGGCGGCGCUCUGGAACGUUACUGACGCUGAGACACGAAAGCGUGGGGAGCAAACAGG
rnacentral:rRNA from 1 species